ACGAACGCUGGCGGCAUGCCUAACACCUGCAAGUCGCACGAGACCUUCGGGUCUAGUGGCGCACGGGUGCGUAACGCGUGGGAACCUGCCCUUAGGUUCGGAAUAACUCCCCGAAAGGGGUGCUAAUACCGGAUAAUGUCUUCGGACCAAAGAUUUAUCGCCUUUGGAUGGGCCCGCGUUGGAUUAGCUAGUUGGUAGGGUAAAAGCCUACCAAGGCGACGAUCCAUAGCUGGUCUGAGAGGAUGAUCAGCCACACUGGGACUGAGACACGGCCCAGACUCCUACGGGAGGCAGCAGUGGGGAAUAUUGGACAAUGGGCGAAAGCCUGAUCCAGCAAUGCCGCGUGAGUGAUGAAGGCCUUAGGGUUGUAAAGCUCUUUUACCCGGGAUGAUAAUGAUAGUACCGGGAGAAUAAGCUCCGGCUAACUCCGUG
rnacentral:rRNA from 1 species